GGGUCUGUAGCUUAACUGGGAAAGCGUCUGCCUUGCAAGCAGGAAGAUGUCGGUACCGCUUCGCGGAAGCAAGCUACAAAUCCGACCAGAAUCCACCA
rnacentral:tRNA from 1 species